rnacentral:rRNA from 1 species
CCUACGGGGCGCAGCAGUCGGGAAUAUUGCACAAUGGAGGGAACUCUGAUGCAGCGACGCCGCGUGAAUGAAGAAGGUCUUCGGAUUGUAAAGUUCUGAUGCGAGAGAAGAAGAAAGUGACAGUAUCUCGCCAGCAAGCACCGGCUAACUAUGUGCCAGCAGCCGCGGUAAUACGGAGGAUGCGAGCGUUAUCCGGAUUUACUGGGUGUAAAGGGCGUGUAGGCGGUAACUCAAGUCAGUUGUGAAAACCGACGGCUUAACCGGAGGAUUGCAGUUGAUACUGGGUUACUUGAGGCAAGGAGAGGAAGGUGGAAUUCCCGGUGUAGCGGUGAUAUGCGUAGAUAUCGGGAGGAACCCCAGUGGCGAAGGCGGCCUUCUGGUCUUGACCUGACGCUGAGGAGCGAAAGCCAGGGUAGCGAACGGGAUUAGAUACCCCUGUA